GCCAAUCCUCCCGACUUGCGAACCAUCUGGCUUGAGGUCUUUCCGCCUUGAGGACUUCCCGACCUGAAAACCUUCCGACUUGAGGUCUUUCCGCCUUGAGGACUUCCCGACCUGAAAACCUUCCGACUUGAGGUCUUUCCGUCUUGAGGACUUCCCGACCUGAAAACCUUCCGACUUGAGGUCUUUCCGCCUUGAGGUCUUCCCGACCUGAAAACCUUCCGACUUGAGGUCUUUCCGUCUUGAGGACCUCCCGACCUGAAAACCUUCCGACUUGAGGUCCUUCCGUCUUGAGGACCUACCGACCUGAGGUCCUUCCGUCCUAAUGACUUUCCGUCUUGAGGACCUACCGACCUGAAGACCUUCCGACCUGAGGACUUUCCUUAGUAAUAAACCUAUUUUCCUUGAUUUCCUCAUGGUACCCUUCAGUCAGUUCAAUCAACUCUAUUGCCAGG